CCUAUUUCCCAUUGCUUCCCACACAGAAAGCCAAUCACUGAGAUAAUGAGUAAUGCCAGGGAAAAAGGCUUUAUUAUGGGUGACAUCAACUGAAGAGAUGGUAGGAAAACUUCAAACCCUUCUCUCUCCCCUGACUAAAGCUAGGGGUUUAUAUAGCAGAGAAGGAAAACAGGAGGGAGAAGGAAGAGGAGUUGGUCAACAGGCAGCAGGUGGUCAAAUGAGGGGUCUGGCAUCUCUUUGUAGCCAUGUGAAGGAAGAAGGAAUUAGGGAGGGGUGAGAAAGAGGAUGUGGUUGACAUGCAGCAGGUGCAUCUCAAUGUACAAAUAACACCAUGAAGUCAUCUUCUACUUACUCACAAUUGGAUUAUAAACUGUGUGAGGGCAGAGCCUAAGACUAACUCAUGUCUGCAUUCUAAGAUACUGGAGCAGUGUCUGGCUCAUAAAAGACAUCAAUGGGUGUCCUAAAUAGAUGUCAAUUGCUUGAAUUGAAUGACAGGGCAGAUUGGCUAUGGGACAGGUCUCAGAGUGUGUAGGGUUAUUCCUAGAGCAUAUGGGCCUGGAACUUUCUUCAGGAAAGAAGGUCUGGGAAGUAUGUGUGCAGUGACAUUUCUUGUGUUCCUCCCUAACUUGAAAAUCCCCCUCUUCUGACAACAGUGAGGCUCUAGGACCCUGUCCUCACACUUAGUGGACCCAAGCAUGGAGCAUGUGACCCUGGCCAGAGCCAAUCAGAAUAUCCCUGGCCAGUGGUUCAGGAGUGGGCACAUAAGCUAAGUCAGCCCAGCAAGAAUGAAUCUUAGGACUUCUUCAAAAAUUACUGGAAAAGACACUUGCUUUCUCCUGCUGAACUUGAAUAGAAAGCUGGAGUCACUGGAGCUCUCGUGCCACUAUAGGGACCAUGGGAAUGAAGCCAACACAUCAAGGAAAGCCAGAAUGCUGAAAGACACUAGUUAUUGCCGAAAUAGCUUGAAGCAAGAAGCCAGUUUUACCCUUGGACUUUUCCUAUUCCUAGAUAUAAGUCCAACUAGUAGAGCACACUUCACUAGGAAGGUCAGCAAGACAGGAGCCUUUUUUAUUGUUAUUCUUUAGCAUUAAAUAAAGGCUGGAGAUUGGACAUUUCAA